GAUGAAGAACGUAGCGAAAUGCGAUAAGUAGUGUGAAUUGCAGAAUUCAGUGAAUCAUCGAAUCUUUGAACGCACAUUGCGCCCCUUGGUAUUCCAUGGGGCAUGCCUGUUCGAGCGUCAUUUGUACCUUCAAGCUUUGCUUGGUGUUGGGUGUUUGUCCUGAGGGACUCGCCUUAAAGUAAUUGGCAGCCAGUGUUUGGUUUUGAAGCGCAGCACAAGUCGCGAUUCAAAGCUAUACGCCCGCUUCCACAAGCCUUUUUCACUUUUGACCUCGGAUCAGGCAGGGAUACCCGCUGAACUUAAGCAUAUCAAUAAGCGGAGGA
rnacentral:misc_RNA from 1 species